CCUACGGGAGGCAGCAGUGGGGAAUAUUGCACAAUGGGGGAAACCCUGAUGCAGCGACGCCGCGUGAGUGAAGAAGUAUUUCGGUACGUAAAGCUCUAUCAGCAGGGAAGAAAAAAAGUCCUUUGGACUUUGGACGGUACCUGACCAAGAAGCACCGGCUAACUACGUGCCAGCAGCCGCGGUAAUACGUAGGGGGCAAGCGUUAUCCGGAUUUCAUGGGUGGAAAGGGAGCGUAGACGGCAGCGCAAGUCUGGAGUGAAAUGCCGGGGCCCAAACCCGGAACUGCUUGGGAAACUGUGCAGCUGGAGUGCAGGAGAGGUAGGCGGAAUUCGUGGUGUAGCGGUGAAAUGCGUAGAUAUGAGGAGGAACACCGGUGGCGAAGGCGGCUUACUGGACUGUAACUGACGUUGAGGCUCGAAAGCGUGGGGAGCAAACAGGAUUAGAUACCCCUGUAGUC
rnacentral:rRNA from 1 species